rnacentral:rRNA from 1 species
GACGAACGCUGGCGGCGUGCUUAACACAUGCAAGUCGAGCGGUAAGGCCCUUUCGGGGGUACACGAGCGGCGAACGGGUGAGUAACACGUGGGUGACCUGCCCUCAGCUCUGGGAUAAGCCUGGGAAACCGGGUCUAAUACUGGAUAUGACUCCAUGACGCAUGUUGUGGGGUGGAAAGCCUUGUGCGGCUGAGGAUGGGCCCGCGGCCUAUCAGCUUGUUGGUGGGGUGAUGGCCUACCAAGGCGACGACGGGUAGCCGGCCUGAGAGGGCGACCGGCCACACUGGGACUGAGACACGGCCCAGACUCCUACGGGAGGCAGCAGUGGGGAAUCUUGCGCAAUGGGCGCAAGCCUGAUCCAGCCAUGCCGCGU